rnacentral:pre_miRNA from 1 species
UAACUACUCCCUCCGUUCCAAAUUACUCGUCGCAGAAAUGAAUGUAUCUAGAACUAAAAUACAUCUAGAUACAUCCAUAUCUGCGACAAGUAAUUCGGAACGGAGGGAGUAGCUU